GUCCGGAAGUAUUGGGCGUAAAGAGCUCGUAGGCGGUCUGUCGCGUCGGCUGUGAAAUCCCGAGGCUCAACCUCGGGUCUGCAGUCGAUACGGGCAAACUAGAGUAUUGCAGGGGAGACUGGAAUUCCUGGUGUAGCGGUGAAAUGCGCAGAUAUCAGGAGGAACACCGGUGGCGAAGGCGGGUCUCUGGGCAAUAACUGACGCUGAGGAGCGAAAGCGUGGGGAGCGAACAGG
rnacentral:rRNA from 1 species